AGAGUUUGAUCCUGGCUCAGGACGAACGCUGGCGGCGCGCCUAACACAUGCAAGUCGAACGAGCGAGAGAGAGCUUGCUUUCUCGAGCGAGUGGCGAACGGGUGAGUAACGCGUGAGGAACCUGCCUCAAAGAGGGGGACAACAGUUGGAAACGACUGCUAAUACCGCAUAAGCCCACAGGUCGGCAUCGACCAGGGGGAAAAGGAGCAAUCCGCUUUGAGAUGGCCUCGCGUCCGAUUAGCUAGUUGGUGAGGUAACGGCCCACCAAGGCAACGAUCGGUAGCCGGACUGAGAGGUUGAACGGCCACAUUGGGACUGAGACACGGCCCAGACUCCUACGGGAGGCAGCAGUGGGGAAUAUUGCACAAUGGGGGAAACCCUGAUGCAGCGACGCCGCGUGGAGGAAGAAGGUCUUCGGAUUGUAAACUCCUGUUGUUGAGGAAGAUAAUGACGGUACUCAACAAGGAAGUGACGGCUAACUACGUGCCAGCAGCCGCGGUAAAACGUAGGUCACAAGCGUUGUCCGGGAUUACUGGGUGUAAAGGGAGCGCAGGCGGGAAGACAAGUUGGAAGUGAAAUCCAUGGGCUCAACCCAUGAACUGCUUUCAAAACUGUUUUUCUUGAGUAGUGCAGAGGUAGGCGGAAUUCCCGGUGUAGCGGUGGAAUGCGUAGAUAUCGGGAGGAACACCAGUGGCGAAGGCGGCCUACUGGGCACCAACUGACGCUGAGGCUCGAAAGUGUGGGUAGCAAACAGGAUUAGAUACCCUGUAGUCCACACCGUAAACGAUGUUUACUAGGUGUCGGAGGAUUGACCCCUUCAGUGCCGCAGUUAACACAAUAAGUAAUCCACCUGGGGAGUACGACCGCAAGGUUGAAACUCAAAGGAAUUGACGGGGGCCCGCACAAGCAGUGGAGUAUGUGGUUUAAUUCGACGCAACGCGAAGAACCUUACCAAGUCUUGACAUCCUGCGACGGUGCUGGAAACAGUAUUUUCCUUCGGGACGCAGAGACAGGUGGUGCAUGGUUGUCGUCAGCUCGUGUCGUGAGAUGUUGGGUUAAGUCCCGCAACGAGCGCAACCCUUAUGGUCAGUUACUACGCAAGAGGACUCUGGCCAGACUGCCGUUGACAAAACGGAGGAAGGUGGGGAUGACGUCAAAUCAUCAUGCCCUUUAUGACUUGGGCUACACACGUACUACAAUGGCGUUAAACAAAGAGAAGCAAGACCGCGAGGUGGAGCAAAACUCAGAAACAACGUCCCAGUUCGGACUGCAGGCUGCAACUCGCCUGCACGAAGUCGGAAUUGCUAGUAAUCGUGGAUCAGCAUGCCACGGUGAAUACGUUCCC
rnacentral:rRNA from 1 species